GACGAACGCUGGCGGCGUGCUUAACACAUGCAAGUCGAACGGUAAGGCCCUCGGGUACGACGAGUGGCGAACGGGUGAGUAACACGUGGGUGAUCUGCCCUGCACUUCGGGAUAAGCUUGGGAAACUGGGUCUAAUACCGGAUAGGACCACGGUCUGCAUGGAUUGUGGUGGAAAGCUUUUGCGGUGUGGGAUGGGCCCGCGGCCUAUCAGCUUGUUGGUGGGUGAUGGCCUACCAAGGCGACGACGGUAGCCGGCCUGAGAGGGUGUCGGCCACACUGGGACUGAGAUACGGCCCAGACUCCUACGGGAGGCAGCAGUGGGGAAUAUUGCACAAUGGGCGCAAGCCUGAUGCAG
rnacentral:rRNA from 1 species